CUAGAAGCUUCCACUAGUAUGUUUUCCCGUUCUCUUCUUAAUGAGAGGGGAGGAAAAGUCAAUGUUCUGAGGAUCCUUGGUACAUAACAU
rnacentral:lncRNA from 1 species